CCUGCAUCUGGAUUCAAGAGGGCUGCAGGAGCCGGGACUUGUUGGCAAGAAGCAGUGGAGGAGCCGCGCUGCCCCAGCCGGUGGUGUCGCUGCCCUCCUGCUGGGCACAGAGGGAUGAUGCCAGGCUUGGGGGGAUGCCAUCAGCUGCUUCCCUUCCCUGGGCGCAGGAGGGUGCUCAGCUCACUGAGAUAUUAAGUGGUUCCAAGAAGCUUGGAGUGAUCCAGGAAACAAGCUUCUCUCUUUCUCUGCUGCGAGCGACCCUUCUGCUCUUGGAAACACUGAAGUUCAACUGAAACACUUCAGGAACCUCACAGAUUUCAGGCUAUGGGAUACUCGGGUGUGAAUGUGCGCUGCUUUUGCUGCUUCAUGGAUUAAAAAGAGGAAGAAAGAAAUGGAGGGAAAAACAGCUGAGAGAUUGGCCAUUUCCUCACAAAUGAGACAUCUGCUUUUCAGUCUGUUCUGGUGAGUCUGUUUGGAGCCAUCAUUCCCAUUUGGAGCAAGAAGAAUCAGCCUCCAGAGCAGCCUACGUUGUUGCAUCCAGCAUUCAAAUUUCAUUAUCUUUGUUUCUUGCGCUGACAACGAGACAUUUAGGUUGGAGAACUCCACUGGGUAUUAGAGCUGCUCUGAAGGGUUUGCACGAUUUGGAAUAAAUGUCAUAAAAGAAAUAG